rnacentral:rRNA from 1 species
CGUGUAGGCGGGUCUUUAAGUCAGGGGUGAAAUGCCAAGGCUCAACCUUGGAACUGCCUUUGAUACUGGAGAUCUUGAGUCCGGGAGAGGUGAGUGGAAUUGCGAGUGUAGAGGUGAAAUUCGUAGAUAUUCGCAAGAACACCAGUGGCGAAGGCGGCUCACUGGCCCGGAACUGACGCUGAGACGCGAAAGCGUGGGGAGCAAACAGGAUUAGAUACCCUGGUAGUCCACGCUGUAAACGAUGGAUGCUAGCCGUUGGGGAGCUUGCUCUUCAGUGGCGCAGCUAACGCUUUAAGCAUCCCGCCUGGGGAGUACGGUCGCAAGAUUAAA